ensembl:lncRNA
ACAUGAGUUAAUCACACACAGGCAACUGCAAACUGUUAAGAUGGGUCUCUAAGCUAGAGAUAGCUAGGAUAGUUAAUAUCCAGGUUAACUGCUCCAUAGCAUCCCGUUAAAUAGUCUGGUAGGAAUACACGACACCCCUUACUUUAAAACGGCGUAUUCCAACACUGAAAACCAUGCUUUUCAAAAACGCUGCCCUAGGCAGAUACAUUUGAAAACUGUAGUUGUAGGUUGCCAUGGCACUGGGGGUAGCUUGCGCUUGAGAGGCUAUAACGUCAAAAUAAACAUGGAAGGUGAAAUGAAUAUGCUGCUCUGUCUCUACAAUUGACUUACCGGUAGUUUAGUUAGUGUACUUCGAGUACAAGUACUUUUCCUGAAUAGAUACGCGUUACUCCUACGCAGAAGGUGUGCACUGUACUCGGUGUGCUUGAACUAUGAAAUACCGUUUAAACCAUACAAUGAACGGCGAUUCUGGGUAAGACGUGGCCGAACUUUUCCCGAACAGCUAGCUGGUAGGACAGUUUGUAAUUCUAUUAGUGUGCAUUUAAAUGAUAUAUCAAAUAUAAACAUUUUUCAAAUUUCUCGCAGGCACAUAGUUUUCAUUUAGCAGCUGAUAUGUCAUGCUAAAACACCUCUUGUUUCGUUACUAAUACAUAAUUAGGCGCACUUUACGCAUCUCCUCCCAUCUCUUUGCGACGAACACCCACUUUCCCACACCCACUUCCUAGCAGCGGUAAUCUGCGCUUUUACUCAGGUGCGCCUCCUUUGGAAAUAGGGUUUUAUGUCUUUACCCGCUAUUUUACGCCUGAAAUGGGCGCAAUCCUGUUAGUAAAUGAGGCCCUGAGUGUAUCAUCAUAGAAACCAUAGAAGAAGACAACAUGCAUACAGCUUCCCAUAUAGAAACCAUAGAAGAAGACAAUCAUAGCGCAGCAGUCAAAAUAUUAUUCCUCCUGCUAUGCAUCCUAUCAGCCUGGGGUACUGUGUGAAUGGCCUUUCUUUGGAUUGUCUUUCUAUACACACACUUCUGGCAGUUUGAAAAAAAGCCUGAGGAUUAAUUCCCUUUGUGCAUAUAGCUUGUUUUUCACCAGGCUAAAUACCAGUGCGGUCAUGCUAGUUUUGUCAGCUCCGCUCAUGACAUCAGUCACGGGUGACUAGGAGAAAAGAUGAUCACUGGUUAUGUCACAGCUUCCAGGCCUGCUGGAACAUAUGGAGUGGUGUCGGUGGAUGACCAGGGGACGCAAUCUGAAGAAACAAACCCUGAAUCUUUCCCUGUGAGCCCAUUAGAUGAGGUAAUGCUAGUAAUGAGGUAAUGUAGGGAUAAGAUCUAGAUGAUCUGGAUGGGGGCUCCCAGGUCUACCAAACUGUUAAAGCAAAAGCAAGUAGUUUCCCUCUAAAAUAAGCAAUUAAAAAGCCAAGACUUGUCCAACUAACCAACAGCAGCACAGCUGAAAAUGAUUAAAAACUAAGCUAGCCGAUGUAUUUAGGUGAUAUAUUUGGCUGUGCAGCGCUCUUAAAGUGGUUCUUAUUUUCACAGGGUUGUGGACUUGUUUUAUGGACCACAAAACUACACUGUGAGUCUAGGUAACUAGUGAACACACAUGGCUCCCCAUCCUACACUUGAGACCUGAUGCGAUCAAAUGAAUGAGGUCAUCAUAAAAACUAGCUACCUCCAAAAACAUGCCUCAAUGGUAAAUGUGCCUUUGCAUAAUGUGUGCUUUAAAUACAUUUGUUUCCCCUUCCAACGCCUCUGUUUUAGUGUGACCUAGCCAAUAACCACUGCUGGACAGGUUUGUGCCACUGGAUUUUUUAGAACUGUGGAAGUUCAUAAAAUGAGUCAGUGUGGGGGGAAAGAAGUUAAAACAAAGGUUUUGAAACCUAAUAUGGUGUGUGUGUGUGUGUGUGUGUGUGUGUGUGUGUGUGUGUGUGUGUGUGUGUAAACACACACACACACACAGUUGUGCAAGUGUGACUGCACGAAAAGGAAAUGAUUACCAUACUGGCCAAUGCAACACCUACAGUGUGCACUUUCAACAUGUUUGGCACAGAUGUUGGAGUGGAUCAACAGCCUGAGUCACUAGAGACAUCUGUGCUUUUCCAAAGCAGAUCACAGGUUCACUCUCAAAUAACAACAUUAAAAGGGCAGUGAACACACUCACCCCAAAAUUGAAUGGGUCACACAAGUAUGACCUGGUAGUGGGGUAGUUUGUCUUUUUAAAAGUGGUGAAACACACACACAGACACACAUUGGUUUUCACUGGCUCAUAGGUGUGAAAUUCAUGUGUGUAUGUGUGUGUGUGUGUGUGUGUGUGUGUGUGUGUGUGUGUGUGUGUGUGUGUGCACAUUGUGACUGCAACAGAAGGUAAGGAGCUAUAUUGGCUAAUGGAACAUUCACAGUGAGACAUUUUGAAAUGAUUGGCACAGAAAUAAUGGGUUGAGAAGUAGGGUGUAGUUACCAUUUGAAAUGUGGCACGCAUACACAACUGGAGAUGCACAGGCAGUCAAUCAUUUAGGUAGGAGUUCAUUUAACGUAUGGUGGUAGGGUGUAGCUUUGGAUGUGGACACACACACACACACAGACACACACAGACAGACACAGAAAGACACACAGACACACAGACACACAGACACACAGAGCAGCACCGGUGGC